GAACCUUGGAAGACACAACUUGCCUGUUUCUGCUAUAUCUGAUCCCAUCCGUUCACUGAACCCGACCAUCUUCUCCCCCCCUCUCUCUCUUUUCCCCUUUGUUAUAUAUCAUUGUUAUUGACCUCAAUUUUGCUUUUUUUAAGAGAAAAAUUUUGUUGUUGACCGGGAAGGUCCUAUCCGUUUCUUCCUUCUGCAAAUCACCUGUAACUCUUACCGGUAGAAUUGUUUGUAAUUCGCUUAAAGUGCACUGCUGCAAUUGCUCUGGUUUGAAAGAGCAACUCAUUGCAUAGCCUCGGCUAAUAUCGGAGCCUUCAAUUCCCUUUGUCGAGGACUAACUUUCAAUUGAUGAUAGCCUGAACAUGCUCACAUUUCGGAUUCUUAUUUAACUAUACCAUUCCAUUUCAAAAAAAGGAUUUAAACUGCUGCUUACCAUAUUGGGGGCUGAAAACGGGUUCGAUCUGAGGUGACAGACAAAUUAGAAACAGUUGAACUCGUUGGGAUUUCCUGAAGGUGGGAUUAUUCUGCCCUCGAAUGAAUAUGAGAGCUGCUGGGAAAGUUCCGGUGUCCGUUGUCGAGAGAAAAAACGGUGAGUAUGAUCCCUCACGAGGACGUGCUGGUAACUUCGGCUUGGAAUCACUGCUUCUGUUUAUAUGCCUAACGGCAUCCUUGCUCAUCCUUCCAUUGAUACUACCGCCGUUGCCUCCACCGCCUUUCAUGCUCUUACUGCUUCCCAUUGCCAUUUUAACUGUCCUACUGUUAUUGGCUUUCAUGCCAUCCAACGGAAGGGAUUUAACUUUGUAAAUGUUGUCUCUUUCAUCAUACAAU